ACUGGCCACCGCCACCGCUGAUUCUCGGCGACCCGUUGGGGGCGCCGACGACGCCGCCGCCACCGUGAAUGCGAGAACGGUGAAUCGGACCGCAGCGAUGCGCGGGACAACUUCGAAAUUUCCCUCGGGAAUUCGCAAUCGAGCUUAUUAAAUUCUUCUACCUGGUCUGCCUCGCUCGCCUUUGUCACCUUGUCUUCCAGGUAAACCAAUGCCGUCGAUACCAGGUGGCCCUGUUAUAAAAAAAAUGUUAUAACAGAGGACCUAUCGGACCAGGUGGACCUUCUGAACCGACUCCCUCGAGACCUUUAUCCCCUUUUUCUCCACGUUCUCCAGAUGGCCCCUGUGGUCCAAUGGGACCCUGUGGACCCGGUAAACCGACGAAUCCACGUUCUCCCGGCAAACCAGGUAAGUGAUAAGCGUAAAGGAUUGGUAACCCUGACUGGAUCAUAUACCUGGACGACCUUGAGGACCAGGUAAUCCAGGACGGCCCGGACGAUUUCGACCGGGCGGACCAGGUGGGCCCUGC